rnacentral:rRNA from 1 species
CUAGCGGCAGGCUUACACCUGCAGUCGAGGGGUACGACACUUUCGGGUGGGCGACGACCGGCGCACGGGUGCGUACGCGUAUGCAACCUACCUUUAACUGGAAGAUACCCCCGAGAAAUCGGGAUUAAUACUCCAUAGUAAUGAGAUUCGGCAUCGUAUUUCAUUUAAAAGCUCCGGCGGUUAAAGAUGGGCAUGCGUGACAUUAGCUAGUUGGUAAGGUAACGGCUUACCAAGGCAACGAUGUCUAGGGGUUCUGAGAGGAUGAUCCCCCACACUGGUACUGAGACACGGACCAGACUCCUACGGGAGGCAGCAGUGAGGAAUAUUGGUCAAUGGACGCAAGUCUGAACCAGCCAUGCCGCGUGCAGGAUGACGGCCCUAUGGGUUGUAAACUGCUCUUAUUAAGGAAUAAACCCCAUUACGUGUAAUGGGCUGAACGUACUUAAAGAAUAAGCAUCGGCUAACUCCGUGCCAGCAGCCGCGGUAAUACGGAGGAUGCAAGCGUUAUCCGGAUUCAUUGGGUUUACAGGGUUCGCAGGCGGCGUAUUAAGUCAGUGGUGAAAUCCCUCGGCUCAACCGGGGAACUGCCAUUGAUACUGGUAUGCUAGAGUAUAGUUGGCGUAGGCGGAAUAUUUCAUGUAGCGGUGAAAUGCUUAGAUAUGAAAUAGAACACCGAUCGC